UGACGCCAAAAAAAACAUAAUUAAACGAGCCCAACCCACUUACCUACAUAGCUGACCCGGUAACCUAAUUCUGCAACCCCUUAUGCAAACGGCAAGACUUCAAUUCUCUCACUCACCAGCCACCACACCUCAACUCUAAUUUCACUUCCAAGUUCCAAUCUUCAUCAGUUCAUCCAACUCCAACGAAGGCCACCGUCCCUCCCAAUCUACCACAAUCGACACCACAUUAGAGUUGCUGUCAUCGGGCAGAAGGACCUCCAACGGGCGGUGUCAUCGGCGGCGUCUGGGCAUCUGAACUCCGAAGCUUCCAUGGUCGGCGUCGUCUGCUUGUCUGAGUUCUUUAUUUGGUUAAUUAUAUGGAUUGAUGCAGAGUUCUGUAUGUAAUGGCCGCUGUAUGUAAUUCAAUUUUGGAUUAUUUGGUUAGUUAAUUAUUUGGUUAAUUUUAUGUAACAGCUGUUUUACUGGUUUUUCAAUUUUAUAUUCUGAAUUUUGAAUGCUGAAUAAAAUUUUGAUAUAAUUGUAGAUUCUGAAUGGCUGUAAUUCUGAAUUUUGUUGUAAUUGUUGUAAUGGCAGGAGUUUUAUUGAUAUGUGGAAGUACUGUUUGUCAUAUAGCUACAAUUGGGAAUAAAUAAAUUUUAUUUUAUUUUA